GCCACACACAAGGCCAUGAAUACACAAGUUCCUCAAAUGCUGGCUGUUUUCCUUCCAACGAGACAUACGUGGAGACGAAGAAAAAAAAAUCCCACAAAAACGUCCAGACCUUGGGAAAUCUGUUGGCAACUGUUGGAGCUGGGCGCUGGCAGAUCUGGAGCUGUAUAAGUGGUUGGAGCUUAAUUCUCCUUCCCUCAAGUAUGGGUAGACUUAGUGGCCCACUUCUAAUGAACAGAAUCAAGCAGAAGUAAUGGUAUAUGACUUUGAAGAGCAGGUCAUAAAAAGGUACUGUGGCUUCCCUCUGGGUUGCCUUUAAGAGGGGUGACAGUUUCCACUUUCUCUUUUGUGGAAUGUUUGCUUUGGGAGAAGCCAGCUGCCAUGUAGAAGUCUAACAACCUUAGAUUGCCAUGCUAAGAGGAAGUCCAAGCUAGCCAUGUGAAAAGGCAGCAUCAUCUUGCCCACAGCUACCCAACUGUUGCCAGCCCACAUACCAGACAUGGAAGUGAAGGAGCCAUCUUGAACAUUUCCUGCCUGUGAUGGGUUAAUAUUGAGUGUCAACUUGAUUGGACUGAAGGAUGCAAUGUAUUGUUCCUGGAUGUGUCUGAGGGUGUGGCCAAAGGAUGGUAGCAUUUGAAUCAGUGGACUGGGAGAGGCAGACCCACCCUCAAUCUGGGUGGGCACCCAGCAGC